GACGAACGCUGGCGGCGUGCUUAACACAUGCAAGUCGAACGGAAAGGCGCUGCUUUUGUGGGGUGCUCGAGUGGCGAACGGGUGAGUAACACGUGAGUAACCUUCCCUUGACUUUGGGAUAACUUCAGGAAACUGGGGCUAAUACCGGAUAGGAGCUCCUGCUGCAUGGUGGUUGUUGGAAAUUUUCGGCGGUUGGGGAUGGACUCGCGGUUUAUCAGCUUGUUGGUGGGGUAGUGGCUUACCAAGGCUUUGACGGGUAGCCGGCCUGAGAGGGUGACCGGGCACAUUGGGACUGAGAUACGGCCCAGACUCCUACGGGAGGCAGCAGUGGGGAAUAUUGCACAAUGGGAGGAAGCCUGAUGCAGAAACGCCGCGUGCGGGAUGACGGCCUUCGGGUUGUAAACCGAUUUCGCCUGUGACGAAGAGUAAGUGACGGUAAUGUGUAAAGAAGCACCGGCUAACUACGUG
rnacentral:rRNA from 1 species